GAUGAACGCUAGCGGCAGGCUUAACACAUGCAAGUCGAGGGGUAUAGGUUUUCGGACCUAGAGACCGGCGCACGGGUGCGUAACGCGUAUGCAAUCUACCUUUCACAGAGGGAUAGCCCAGAGAAAUUUGGAUUAAUACCUCAUAGUAUAGCAGUUUCGCAUGAAACCACUAUUAAAGUUCCAACGGUGAAAGAUGAGCAUGCGUCCCAUUAGCUAGAUGGUAAGGUAACGGCUUACCAUGGCUACGAUGGGUAGGGGUCCUGAGAGGGAGAUCCCCCACACUGGUACUGAGACACGGACCAGACUCCUACGGGAGGCAGCAGUGAGGAAUAUUGGUCAAUGGACGCAAGUCUGAACCAGCCAUGCCGCGUGCAGGAUGACGGUCCUAUGGAUUGUAAACUGCUUUUGUACGAGAAGAAACAUUCCGACGUGUCGGAACUUGACGGUAUCGUAAGAAUAAGGAUCGGCUAACUCCGUGCCAGCCGCCGCCGUAAGAC
rnacentral:rRNA from 1 species